UCAUUAAUCCAUCGUGGACGACCACUCGGUAAUUUACUUGCAAAACCCUAGCUCACUCCGUCUCCGCAGCCCGCCUAAAACCCUAGAAUCUCAUCCACAUUCCGGCCACUCCGCGGCCAAAAUCGUUCCACGGUUCUUCCAAUCGCGGCAGCCAUGUCGAUGUCGAAGGGAUCAAAGAUGCUCCAGUACAUCAACUACCGUAUGCGGGUCACCAUCCAGGACGGCCGUAUGCUCGUCGGCAAGUUCAUGGCCUUCGAUCGCCACAUGAACCUUGUCCUUGGAGACUGUGAGGAGUUCCGCAAGCUUCCCCCGGCUAAGGGCUCUAAAAAGGGUGGCGGGGGGCUUCCUGAGGAGCGCGAGGACCGCCGCACACUUGGCCUCGUUCUUCUACGCGGUGAGGAGGUUGUAUCAAUGACUGUGGAAGGACCCCCUCCACCAGACGAAUCCCGUGCCAAGGCCUCAGCGGCUUCUGCCCUUGCAGGCCCUGGUAUUGGUCGAGCUGCUGGCCGAGGCAUUCCGACCGCUCCGCUGAUCCACGCGCAGCCUGGCCUCGCUGGACCUGUGCGUGGCAUAGGAGGGCCUUCUCCUGGCAUGAUGCAGCCUCAGAUUGCUCGACCUCCUCUGCCCCAGCUCUCCGCGCCACCUAUUUCUUAUCCACAGGUGCGGCCACCACCUGCUGGCCAGAUGCCGGGAUUCCCCGGCCAGCCUCCUCCGAUAGGGCGAGGUCCUCCACCACCGGGGCAGAUGCAGUUUCCUGGACGGCCUGGAGGGCCUCCACCCCAGUUCCCUGUGCCACCACCUCAAUUUGGGCAGAGACCACUGGGACCUCCACCACCACAGAUGAUGAGGGGGAUUCCACCACCACCGAGACCUGGGAUGCCUGCACCACCACCUCCAAGACCCGGGAUGCCGCCUCCACCUGGCGGACAGGUGCCAAUUUUUGCCCCUCCUAGACCAGGGAUACCACCUCCACCUCCAAAUCAACAACCUCCAGGUCAAAGUCAGUAGCAGCAACUGCAUUAGCUUUUGGUUUAAGAGUUGAGGAAGGGAGGACUUGUAGUUCAAGUGGGCAAGCGACUAGGUAUUGUGACUUAUGAGCAUUCUUUUUUGAGAAUGCAAGUGAGAUUGUGAGAGAGUCACUUCAAGCUAGUAUUGAGCGGAGUUGCUUCACUCCAUGAGAGAAAGGAUAUGUGCAGUUGUCUUCAGCGUUUGCUAUUGUCUUUUGGUGUUGGAAGGCCUCUUUACUUAUUUUAUUUUGAACACUGAAAUGUCUCUUAGACAUAAUAUUGUAUGCUUAGCAGUCGAAAGAUAUCAACUUUUGUAGAUUUAUUUGAAAUCUGGUCAGAUUUUUUUUU